AUGGGCUACACAUGACAGGUUGUUGGGCUACACAUGGCAGGUUGUUGGGCUACACAUGACAGGUUGAUGGGCUACACAUGGCAGGUUGAUGGGCUACACAUGACAGGUUGAUGGGCUACACAUGGCAGGUUGUUGGGCUACACAUGGCAGGUUGUUGGGCUACACAUGACAGGUUGAUGGGCUACACAUGGCAGGUUGUUGGGCUACACAUGACAGGUUGUUGGGCUACACAUGACAGGUUGAUGGGCUACACAUGACAGGUUGAUGGGCUACACAUGACAGGUUGAUGGGCUACACAUGACAGGUUGAUGGGCUACACAUGACAGGUUGUUGGGCUACACAUGGCAGGUUGAUGGGCUACACAUGACAGGUUGAUGGGCUACACAUGGCAGGUUGAUGGGCUACACAUGG